AAACCAGGUUUGGCGUCAUAAUUUUUGUCUACCCCUCUGCACAACUUCCAAUGAUACUCUUUCUACAAGCCCUAAUCGCCUCAUCUCUCUCAUUCUACCAUCUCUCUGUAUCGUCGUCUCCCUCUCUUUGUUCAUCCCAAACCUUUCUUCCAUCUUCUUCGUCUGCCCUAAUCGCCGCCUCUCCCUCCACCGUGUCUUAAUCUGUCGUCGUUAAUCGCAGCCAUCUCUCGCCAACCAGAACACUCUCUCGCCGCCUGUAAGGUCGAGGACGCUGCUUCCGGCAACUGAACGGCGACGCCAAGCUUGAAGAUUAUACCUUCCAUCUCAGGGUUGAGAAUAUCCACUCGAAGGUCAGGAGGUUACAUUGUAGAUGGCUGUUGCGUCGGAGGUGUCAACGCCAAAUCCACCCUGUAGUUGUGGCAACGGCAUUAUGAAUCUCAAAUGCGCCGGUGUUGGAUCACAGAACCCCGGACGUUUGUACUACAAGUGUCCAACGGGUGGGAAUCAUUGGGACGGUUUUCAUUGGUAUGACGAGUACCAUGGGCUUCGCGCAAGAAAUGUGCAGUCGGCCGCCGAGUCUUCUCGAAGCCAAGAGUUCGGCGACGUUACUUCGACACAGCCCUUACCACAAUCGAAUUCCAACAGCGUGGGAUUGCCGGUUAUGGGAUUGAAGGCGACCGUUGGGAUAUUUGAGCUCUUUUGCGCCCUACUUUGUUUCACAUUAGCCGUGCUUAUUAUUGGAAUUUUGGUUGGCAAAUUCAUGUGAAGGUGUCAUAUGUUGAUACCUCCUAGCAGUGUCCAUCAUACUUUGUUUUAGUUUUGGUUUAUGUAGCUAUACGUUAUUUUUGAUUUUGGUAUCAUACCUAUUCUCGAACAAGAUAUUGGAUUAUCAUUAAUGCUAAUUUGGUUGUUGACUCCUUCA